rnacentral:rRNA from 1 species
UACGUAGGGAGCAAGCGUUAUCCGGAAUUAUUGGGUGUAAAGGGUGCGUAGACGGGAGUCUAAGUUAGUUGUGAAAUCCCUCGGCUUAACUGAGGAACUGCAACUAAAACUGGAUUUCUUGAGUGCAGGAGAGGAAAGUGGAAUUCCUAGUGUAGCGGUGAAAUGCGUAGAUAUUAGGAGGAACACCAGUGGCGAAGGCGGCUUUCUGGACUGUAACUGACGUUGAGGCACGAAAGUGUGGGGAGCAAACAGG